rnacentral:lncRNA from 1 species
GAAACUAAACAUACAUGACCUGGACUAACGGGAAUAGGCACCUAUAUGCUGCGAUUUGCGUUUGAUUUCCGAUACAGUAAGUACUUAAUAUGAACAGUCAAACCAUUCUACACUAGGGACUUGAUUUCAACAGGAAUGAAUUCUACAUUAGAAUCAACAGUCCGUCACAAUUUAAACAAUUCAAAUCAGUUAAACAACAAUCUUAAUUGAACAGUUGACAUUACAACUAGAACAAAUUACAGCUAAGUAACUACAUAGCAUCCUACUGAUUUCAGCUACUCAAAUAAGCACAAGUCUGGACAUUACUUCAUUUCAAUCCCAUUCAAAGCUACAUCGGUGAGAAGUCAAAUGUGUACACAGGAGAAGAGGCAUCAGCAAGAGUAACAGCAGCAGAUCAUAGCAAGGAUCAAAUGCGUUUCAACACAGCUCAACAACCUAGAAGUGUUUCUAAAAGAACCAAAUAGAAAACAGUAGCUUCACCAAAACAGCACCAAAUUGACCCAAAAUGAAACCAGAAUCAUUUGAACUUUCAACUACCCAAAGUUUCACCAAAAGCAGCUUAAGUAGACCAAGCUUACUCAAAAUCAAACCAGAAACAACUCUGAAAACUUCAAAUUCCCAGCAAAUGAACUGCGAAAGGCAACUUGGUUACUAAAACUGGAAACUAGAUAGAAACUGAAUGGAACAGUACUAUAUUUUUUAUUUCAAUAACUUUCUAUUGUUUUCUAUCUCUCUUUUUCAGUGUUUCUCCAGUCUAGCAAACUCUCUCUAUUUUUCCUUUUCCACUCUCUAAAAUGAUCUUAAGAUCUCAAAAUGCUCUUUAAGACUCCCUGGAAACUGAUUCAAGACAUACGUUUCUUUUUUCAGCUUUCCAAAUUUUCUAGACUAUCUCAAACUGAUCAAAGACUCUCUCCUCCUUGUUUUUUUUCAAGUUUAAUACUCUUAAAGUCUGAAAACUCUCAAAAAUAUGAAUACCUUAGCUUUCUAUCUUCGCUCUCAAUGACUGUCUGUAUUUUUUUCUCCCAAUGUCUGUCUGUAUUCUUCUCUCCCAAUGUCUGUCUAUAUUCUUCUCUCCCCCCUUGAAUGUGUGUGUGGUGUUUCUAUUUAAAGAUCAAGAUUACACGCCCCCCCCCCUCCCUUUCAAACCUUUUCUUUACAGCUUGUAUAUUUUCUUCCCACAUGUAUCCCUUUAGUCUUUUAUCAUUAUGCUCUCAUGUUACCUCUUUACAGCUCCUAAAAGGGAUUCAACAGGGUGUCCAUCUACUAACCAUUCCACUUUUCAUUUUUAACACACACCUUUUCCUUUUACCUCAGUUAUUUAGGCUUAAAUCCCAAAUUACCCCUAGAAUCCCUGAAACUACUACCCAUCAGCUGUAACCAAUCCACCUACCAAUCACCUAGUUGAUUAUAUUAAACUAGCUCUUAAUUAAGACUAGCACAACAAAACUGAAUUUAAACCAGGGUCAAGCUCAUCUCAAACUCCAAACUAAAUAGAACAACAAUUAGAUUCAAAUCAGUAAAUUCAACAUCAAUUGAACUCAAGUUGGAUCACACGGCAUUACAACACAGAAGAAGGAUUCAAGGAACAAACUAACACAAUUCUAAAUUAAACCUAAGCAAGAACAAAUGGACACUGUAAAUACACUGAACGAAUAUAAAUUGAAUUGAUAUGCAAAAUGAUGAACAACAAAGAGAAGGGAACCAAUCAUCACACAAAAUAAACAAUUUCAACCAAUAAUACCAGCAAAAAAUAAUAGGAAUAGUCACAGCUUUGUACAAGAACUUGUGGACAUUGACUACUUCAACUCAUUCAGACAAAUCAGAAGAAGAAAAAUUUAGAGUAAAACCUAAACAGACACGGGUGAAUUGGACCAGACAUUUCAAACAAUGAUAUUUGGGGAGAUACAGGGGAUUCAAGUGAUCUUAAUAAGGUCCAACUGACUUUAAAGUGAAACUAAAGGACAAACGUAUUCAAUCGAUUCAAAGGCCUAUAGGAUAUAUUAACAAACAGUGAAGAAAAUUGGACCAGAAAAAGGUCCGAAAGAGGAGGAAGAAGUAAUUGAUAAAAAUGAAGAAACAUAACGAAAUUAAUCAAACAAGCAUUAACAACAAUAAAAGAAAAAAUGAAAACAAAAGAAAUACCUCGAAAUUUUAGACCAAACCCAAUCCGCUUUAGUCAAAACUUCGACUUGAACUUUUGAGGCCAAAACGGACCUUAAUCGAGCGUUCUCUACUGAGAACACUCGACUAAAGUCGGUCAAAACCUCAAAUUCCCCACCUCGGACCGAUUCCAGGCCUGUGUUCUUUUAGGGUUCGCUCAGUCCAUUUGAAAUUCGAUGAGCUCUGCCAUGAUUCGAGCACAACUAACAUGGGAUUGGGAUGAGGGUAGCCUAGUGGUUCAGAGGUAUAACUUUGGGGUCAAACAGACGGCCUGGGAUUUUGGUCCUAUCUUGGAUCUAAGAUUCGAAAACACCGGUGAUGAUUCGAGGGACAAGGUACAUGAUUUUGGAAAGAGGGACAUUAGGUGGUUCAGGGGUAUUAUUUUAGUGGUCAUCGGCGUGAUUGCCGCCGGGUUUUGGGCGGUUGAGAGAGGCGAGCAGGGUUCGGCUUGGGGGGGUCCGAUCUUCGGCUUAUAUACAAAAUUAGGCUAUCAAUCUAGGCUGUUCGAUCUGAUGAGACGGCGUCAUUUGGCUAAAG